UACGGGGGGCAAGCGUUGUUCGGAAUUACUGGCGUAAAGGGCUCGUAUGGCGGCCAACUAAGUCAGACGUGAAAUCCCUCGGCUUAACCGGGGAACUGCGUCUACGAUACUGGAUGGGCUUGAGGUUGGGAGAGGGAUGCGGAAUUCCGAGGUGUAGCGGUGAAAUGCGUAGAUAUCGGAGGAACACCGGUGGCCGAAGGCGGCAAUCCUGGACCAAUUCUGACGCUGAGGAGCGAAAGCCAGGGGGAAGCAAAGCGGGGAUUAAGCAAACCCGGGGUAGUACCCAGGUAACCCAAGUCUACUCGACU
rnacentral:rRNA from 1 species